CUCCACCACCUGGCCGCCCACCCUCCACCUCUCGUGCUUCCCGGACGCCGCGGCCGCCGAGACGAGGGCCAGGAGCAGGAGCCACCGAGCAGUCGUCGCCACCGCCAUAAACCAAACUAACUAAGGCAGCUAGAAUCUCUGCUUUGAGUUCUUCCCCGUCACCGCACGGGCUGCGAUCUCUGCUUUUUUUGGUUCCCCAAUCCCAUUCCGUGUCCUCAUGCUGCCAUUUUGGGGUUCAAGGAAAUCAAAAUGCCAUAGUUUCACGGGAUAGACGGAUCAGCUUGGUCUGGGGAUGUCGUCAGCGUGGAUGGACGGUCAAUUUCUUCGUCCGUCGCCCAACCGGCAGCAACACAUACGCGAUGAUUUGAUUGGUUCCUUGUGUCCUAAAUGAAGGCAGGUCAGGAGAGGCUAGAGUUCCAAAUCGUAGUUCGUGUGAACCAGUGUGAACCAGUUGAAUCUCAUCAAUCUUAUCAAGUCAUCUAAUAAAAAAAGGUUCGACGCGUCUUAGAGUUCUACGAUGCAUCCAAGAAUUCAGAGAACGUUGACAAAUAUAUAGAUCAGCUGACCAACAAUGAAUUGUCAUCACCACCCAAAAAGAUGAAGCACACCCAGG
rnacentral:lncRNA from 1 species